rnacentral:ncRNA from 2 species
GAAUAAUAAUUUGUCUUAGGUGCCCCGUCAAAGGGAGAAUAGGGAACCGGGUGUGACUCCCGGGCGGGCCCGCCACUGUAAAGGUAAGCCAAUGUCAAGAACCACUCCAGUUUUGGGGGAAGGGGCAUUAUGGCGAUGAGUCUAAGUCAGGAGACCUGCCUAAGACAAGAGAGACCU